rnacentral:rRNA from 1 species
AAUAGAUACCCCGGUAGUCCACGCCGUAAACGUUGGGCACUAGGUGUGGGGGGGCCGUCAACGCUCUCUGUGCCGUAGCUAACGCAUUAAGUGCCCCGCCUGGGGAGUACGGCCGCAAGGCUAAAACUCAAAGGAAUUGACGGGGGGCCCGCACAAGCGGCGGAGCAUGUUGCUUAAUUCGAGGCAACGCGAAGAACCUUACCUAGGUUGAACUACGCAGGAAAAGCCACAGAGAUGUGGUGUCCUUCGGGGCCUGCGAUAGGUGGUGCAUGGCUGUCGUCAGCUCGUGUCGUGAGAUGUUGGGUUAAGUCCCGCAACGAGCGCAACCCUUAUCCUAUGUUGCCAGCGGGUAAUGCCGGGGACUCGUAGGAGACUGCCGGGGUCAACUCGGAGGAAGGUGGGGACGACGUCAAGUCAUCAUGCCCCUUAUGUCUAGGGCUGCAAACAUGCUACAAUGGCCGGUACAGAGGGCUGCGAAACCGCGAGGUCGAGCGAAUCCCAAAAAGCCGGUCUCAGUUCGGAUUGAAGUCUGCAACUCGACUUCA